CUAAAAUGUAAGACAAACGAAUUCCUUUGCGAAUUUACGUUAAACCCAAAGAAACAUACAGAAAUACGUUCAUGGGUUGGUUUAGGCUCACUCCGUUCUUUGUGUUGCUUUUUUCUAUAAUCAGUUUUGCAUGUCAAGAAAGCAGCUGCACUGAAGCCAGGGCAGGGCCAGCCCCCUUCCUAUCUCCUCAACAAGGUAAGAAUAAGCAUUAAAAAAAAUAAAAACCAGUAUUCUUAUCUUUUAUAUAAUCACAGAGAUUUAGGGCCCAUUUGGCGGGAUUUUUACUUUUGUUUCUGUUUUUUUAUAUAAAAGCUUAUUGAGAAAGUUAUAUUAGACCAGUUUUAUGUAAAAUCUAUUCUACAGCUUAUUAGGGAGCGAUUUUUUGCUCCAAAUAAUUGAUUUUUGACUGUUAUUUCACUAUUCCAAUCAUCAUAUUUGAUUUCUUCUCUCACAGGUGGAUUCCACUUUUCUCCUAACAAUCAAAAAAUUAAUUCUCAAAAUCAUUCCCAAAUAGACUCCUAGUGAAACAACAUGCUAUACUCAAAUGUAACUUCUUAAUUUUAGAAACAGCCUUCGAAUUUUCGGAAGUCUGCCUAAUGGGUUCUUAGUUGUGUGCUGGCUCAAUCAAUUUGACACCUUGGCUUAAUUGUGUCUAUUUUCUUUGUUCCAUCUAAUUGUUCAUUUUAUAGAAGUUAGUUUGUAAAAUUGAUCAUGGGCCUAACCAAAUUGACACCUCCACUUAAUUAUGACGAUUUUAUUUAGUUCAUUUGAGGGUCGUGUUCGUUUUAUAGUAAUCAGUUUAAUUUGUAAAAUUGAUUAGUAGAAGACUCGAAGGUUUUUUCCACUCUUGGGGUGGUUUGCCGGUGUUGUGAUGGUGGAGGAAGCUCCAAUGGUGGUGGAGAAUGUACAAAUUCAUGGGUCGGGUCUUGCUCCAAUCUCCACUGUCUUCCAUGGAAAUUACACUAGCAAAAUUGUUGCUUUAAGGUCUCUUUUUGUACAGUUAUAGACUAUAAAUAUAUCAUUUUCAACGGUUGCAAAGUCUGUAUAAUUUUUUGUAUUACUUGAUGAACGUAUUAACUGCUGGAAUGUGGAAGUGAAAUUAUUUAGAAAUUAAAAAUUUCGUUAAUUCAAUAAACAAGAUCAUUUAGAUGUUUACGUG
rnacentral:lncRNA from 1 species